AGCUAUUUAGCUAUAUUUAUAAGUAAAUGUUUUGAAAGCAUUUGAAAAUUAUUUUUAAUAGCUA
rnacentral:tRNA from 1 species